ensembl:miRNA mdo-mir-93 mdo-mir-93
AGUCUUGGGGGGCUCCAAAGUGCUGUUCGUGCAGGUAGUGUGAUAACCUGACCUACUGCUGAGCUAGCACUUCCAGAGCCCCUGGGACA